AUCCAGCUGACGAGUCCUAAAUAGGACGAAACGUGCAUCAAACUGUAU
rnacentral:hammerhead_ribozyme from 1 species